rnacentral:rRNA from 1 species
CAGCCGCCGCGGUAACACGGAGGGUGCAAGCGUUAAUCGGAAUUACUGGGCGUAAAGCGCACGCAGGCGGUUUGUUAAGUCAGAUGUGAAAUCCCCGAGCUUAACUUGGGAACUGCAUUUGAAACUGGCAAGCUAGAGUCUUGUAGAGGGGGGUAGAAUUCCAGGUGUAGCGGUGAAAUGCGUAGAGAUCUGGAGGAAUACCGGUGGCGAAGGCGGCCCCCUGGACAAAGACUGACGCUCAGGUGCGAAAGCGUGGGGAGCAAACAGGAUUAGAUACCCCGGUAGUCCCUGUCUCUUAUAC